GAUGAACGCUGGCGGCGUGCCUAAUACAUGCAAGUCGAGCGAACGGACGAGAAGCUUGCUUCUCUGAUGUUAGCGGCGGACGGGUGAGUAACACGUGGAUAACCUACCUAUAAGACUGGGAUAACUUCGGGAAACCGGAGCUAAUACCGGAUAAUAUUUUGAACCGCAUGGUUCAAAAGUGAAAGACGGUCUUGCUGUCACUUAUAGAUGGAUCCGCGCUGCAUUAGCUAGUUGGUAAGGUAACGGCUUACCAAGGCAACGAUGCAUAGCCGACCUGAGAGGGUGAUCGGCCACACGAGAACUGAGACAGGGUCCAGACUCCUACGGGAGGCAGCAGUAGGGAAUCUUCCGCAAUGGGCGAAAGCCUGACGGAGCAACGCCGCGUGAGUGAUGAAGGUCUUCGGAUCGUAAAACUCUGUUAUUAGGGAAGAACAUAUGUGUAAGUAACUGUGCACAUCUUGACGGUACCUAAUCAGAAAGCCCCGGCUAACUACGUG
rnacentral:rRNA from 1 species